CUAGCAUAUCAAUAAGCGGAGGAAAAGAAACUAACAAGGAUUCCCCUAGUAACUGCGAGUGAAGCGGGAAAAGCUCAAAUUUAAAAUCUGGCGGUCUUUGGCCGUCCGAGUUGUAGUCUGGAGAAGUGCUUUCUGUGCUGGACCGUGUACAAGUCUCUUGGAACAGAGCGUCAUAGAGGGUGAGAAUCCCGUCUUUGACACGGACUACCAGUGCUUUGUGAUGCGCUCUCAAAGAGUCGAGUUGUUUGGGAAUGCAGCUCAAAAUGGGUGGUGAAUUCCAUCUAAAGCUAAAUAUUGGCGAGAGACCGAUAGCGAACAAGUACCGUGAGGGAAAGAUGAAAAGCACUUUGGAAAGAGAGUUAAACAGUACGUGAAAUUGCUGAAAGGGAAACGCUUGAAGUCAGUCGUGUUGUCCAGAACUCAGCCUUGCUUUUGCUUGGUGCAUUUUCUGGAUGACGGGCCAGCAUCGAUUUUGACCGUCGGAAAAGGGCUAGAGUAAUGUGGCACCUCCGGGUGUGUUAUAGACUCUGGUCGCAUACGGCGGUUGGGAUCGAGGAAUGCAGCGCGCCGCAAGGCAGGGGUUCGCCCACUUUCGCGCUUAGGAUGCUGGCAUAAUGGCUUUAAACGACCCGUCUUGAAACACGGACCAAGGAGUCUAACAUACCUGCGAGUGUUUGGGUGGAAAACCCGAGCGCGUAAUGAAAGUGAAAGUUGAGACCUCUGUCGUGGAGGGCAUCGACGCCCGGACCUGACGUUCUCUGACGGAUCCGCGGUAGAGCAUGUAUGUUGGGACCCGAAAGAUGGUGAACUAUGCCUGAAUAGGGUGAAGCCAGAGGAAACUCUGGUGGAGGCUCGUAGCGAUUCUGACGUGCAAUCGAUCGUCAAAUUUGGGUAUAGGGGCGAAAGACUAAUCAAACCUUCUAGUAGCUGGUUCCUGCCGA
rnacentral:rRNA from 1 species